rnacentral:rRNA from 1 species
GACGAACGCUGGCGGCGUGCUUAACACAUGCAAGUCGAACGGAAAGGCCCUGCUUUUGUGGGGUGCUCGAGUGGCGAACGGGUGAGUAACACGUGAGUAACUUGCCCUUGACUUUGGGAUAACUUCAGGAAACUGGGGCUAAUACCGGAUAGGAGCUCCUGCUGCAUGGUGGGGGUUGGAAAGUUUCGGCGGUUGGGGAUGGACUCGCGGCUUAUCGGCUUGUUGGUGGGGUAGUGGCUUACCAAGGCUUUGACGGGUAGCCGGCCUGAGAGGGUGACCGGCCACAUUGGGACUGAGAUACGGCCCAGACUCCUACGGGAGGCAGCAGUGGGGAAUAGUGCACAAUGGGCGGAAGCCUGAUGCAGCAACGCCGCGUGCGGGAUGACGGCCUUCGGGUUGUAAACCGCUUUCGCCUGUGACGAAGCGUGAGUGACGGUAAUGGGUAAAGAAGCACCGGCUAACUACGUG